GUCUUUUAUCACUCACAGUCUCUGGUGUCUCUCUUACGCUCUCUCAAUCUCUAUCUGUUCUUUUCCAGGUUCUGCAAAGCCUAAAACCAAAAGGAAAGAAAGAAGGAGAAGUUGCAGGAGGUUCAAGUUGAGCUCGAAAAUGUUUUAUUUUUCAACAACUUUUAUGUUUAUGAUGACCGUAUUGUUGAUUUCCAUGGUGUUAUUGUAGCCAUAGAGUUUUUUUUUUUUUUUUUUUUCAUUGCAAUGACUAUUACCCUGUUGUAUGUAUGUGUGUUUUAUUAUUGUCGUGGUCAUGGUGACCUUCAUUGUUGAUUCCCAUGGUGUUAAUGUUUGUUUGGUUGACUUUCAAUUGGGAUGUAGAAAAUGAGUUAUUUUAUUUUAUUUUGGGCUGAUUGGGCAGUGGCUUUUAUAAUUGUUGUGGUCGUGGUGACCAUCAUUAUUGAUUUCAAAGGUGUAAAUGUGGAUUGGAUUUGUUUAUAUAGAUUUGUAGAGAGGAUUUUUUGUUGCUGUUGUUGUUGAUUGCAAUGGCUACAUAUUUAGUGCUCUUUCUUCUGCUAUAUUAUUAGUAAAUUGUGAAUCUUUAGCAUUAUUCUGUUGUAUGUACAUGAAUCUUUAGCUUGUUUCAUGUGAUUUCAAACAAUUUCCUUUCAUGUUAGAAAUACAAUGGUGGAUACCCUUUUCUGUGAUUAACUAGAAAAAUCGGAUCAAGAUACUUGUAAGUGGAGUCUUGACUGUUUGUUUGAUCAUAUAGUACAGUUGGAAGGUAGUUAAUGCCAAGGGUAAAUUACAUUUUCAAUGUUCAGAUAUUAUAAAUCAUUUCAAACGAUUACAUCUAAAAUCAGCAAUAAUGCCUUCCUAUGCUUUCAAUCUAUGAAAUUGUUGCCUUUCAUUCUAGCCUUUUGCAUUGUAUCAAUAGCUUUGUAUGAGGAUGUUACUAUUAGGAAUUAAAUAUUACAAUGGAAAGUUCAGAUUCAUCAGACUGUUCACUUUGAAGUACAAUGAAGAGUUUUCCAUUCUUAUAUACAGUUCUUAAAAUGUUGCCAUUUUGGUAUUGCAAUUUCAAAAUAUGAUAAGGUGAUGUUAGAGAUCUUCUAACUCACUGGGUGGGUCAAACAGAUUAAAAUAGACAGCAGUUCUUAAUCUUGGGUAGGGAAGACCAGAUUGGAGUAUAAUAUAGCCUGGCUAGAAUGAUGGAGACACAUUGACCAUUCAACAAUUACAAAUCAGGAAGGAGGGCAAUGUGAGAAGAAGAUAUCAAUGUUUUAAUUUAAUUGAGGAUGAUAUGGAAAAGAUUAAAGGAUUUCCAAAAGAUUGCACUGUUCCUUUUAGAGAAAAGUUAAUCGUGGCUGCGGUAUUUAACCCCGAGGAUCUUCACUUGAGUUCUGCUGAAAGGAAGCUUGCUCAGGCUUAAAAUGAAAAGCAAGUCCUUUCACUGCCUCAGCACAAUUUUUAUAGGGUAUUUUGGUAUGUGCUUUGCACUUAUGAGACAAAGCAACAGAAAUUAUGCCAGGGUAAGCAAACUCACAGAAUGCCUCGAUACAUACUGUGCUUGGUUAUAUCAAUGUGUUAGUUUGGACAAGACUGGGAUUUUUUGCUUCAAAAGGAGUUCACAACCAGUUUCUUAAGGAAAUCUAGAAUGUGUUUGGACUAGAGAAACUCUGUCAGACACAAAUAUGUGGGAGUCCUACUGUUCCUCUCUAACAACAAAAAGAAGGAUUUUGCUUAUUUUAUAGUGGCUAGAAGGCAAAACAAGUGGUUGGAAAAACCAGAAUCUAUCCCUGCGCUGGACGGGUCUUCCUUAACAAUGCUGUGGCAUAGACCACUCCAUCCUAUACCAUGACUGCAUCAGCAUUUAUCCUUCCCAAGGGACUUUGAGCAGUUGGAUGCAAUUUUUAACUAAAUUUUGGUGGAACCCGGAAAGAUUCCAACAAGUUUCAAACACCUAUGGCUGGGUCAAAUUUAUGUCAAUCAGAAAAUCAGGCGGCCGGGAUUUAGAAGAUUUGGAGAUUUCAAUGUAGUAAAAAUGGCUUGGAUGGUCUUAACCUCGAAGAACGGCCUAUGCACCAAACUUCUGGUUUCAAAAUAUAAGGGAGAAGCAAACUAGCUAAAUUGCAAGAACUCUCACAAAGCUUCAUGGACAUGGUGCAAUAUUGAAGAAGCCGAAAAGGUAAUACCAAAGGAGCCUGCAUUCAAAUUGGCAAUGGAAAUAGCAAUAGAAUCUGGGAGAACCCUUGGUUCCCAUACUUUCAGGAUUCAUUCCCAAACCCAGAAGUGAUGAAGCUCAACCAACUUAUCUGUUGGUAUCUCAGUUAAUGCAGCAAGACCAAAUAUGGCUUGGCAUCCAAAAAAUUCUGUCAACUUUUGAUCCCCUAA